GUUGGGGUGCGCUUGUUUCCUUCCACUGAGCGUACCUGUGUUGCUACUUCCCUGACCCAGGUCAUACGGAGCAAAAUCUGGACGUAAGUGUUCGUAUGCAUCCGGUGCGCAGCGUGAUUUUGUGAAAUAGGUCAAUCUACUUCAAUGGAUAGCUCAACUCAGUGAAGUACAAUGACAAUGGAUGAUUCAAACUAUCUGGAAACUCUGCUGAGGCAUCAAAUUCUGGAGCAGUUGCAGAGCCAAAUGAAAUAUGUUCUCCGUCAUCAAUUGUAGCAACACAGGCACAGUCAGUAGAAGGAAACAAGCGCACCCCAACUAAGCCUGUGACCUAGCAGUUGCACACUGUCAUUCUGUUGGCUGAUACGGUUGCUAGGAGAUGAUACGAAUUUAAUCUGAGAGAGAGCAAAAAGAAUUUGCGAGCAGGGAAGAAACCUGAGAGCGCAGUUUUGAUCUGAGCAGAGAACAAGUUUGCACGUAUGGAGGAUGAAGCAAACAGGAGGAGAAAUUACCUAUGCAAGAAGCAUUAGAUCAGAGCGCAGACACAAAGAUUUGAGUGAGAACAGAGUAUAUUUGAAAGAAAGCAUAUUUUGUUUUGUUGCAAGCAUGACUAAGUUUGAGUACAAGCAGAAUGAAAUCCUGCUCUCAAAUUGAAAAUAUGUGCUCUUGAUUUUGGCAGUAAAUUUCCCCCAUAUGCUGUGGUUACGAAGCUCAAUGAAAAAAAGGGCCACAGAGAUACAGACUGCUCUGAAGUUUGGUGCUGGAAAUGUUUGAAAAUUUACCUUGAAAAUGCUUGAAAAGUGCUUAAACCUUAAACCCUGUCAUAAGAAAUACCAUUCCUGUAGGGAAUACAGGCGCUCUGGCCAGAUGAGGCAAAAAUGAACUGAUGGUUCUACAUGCAAAAGAGUAACAGUGCACAUCAACCCGAACAUGCCAUUUACAAGGCAAAACCUGGUGGUGGCGGUGAGGGGAAUGUUAUUUUUCAGCAGAUACAGGAAAGGUUAGAGUUCAUGUAAGGAGGGUUAGAGCUAAAUAAAAGACAAUGCUGGAAAAAAAAAAUAGUUUGGGAGGCUGCAAAAGAAAUGUACACACACAUUUUAGAUUUUUUUUGUAAAUAUAACAAAAAUGUAUCAUUUUUCUUUCAAUUCACAAUUAUUGCCUACUUUAGCUUGUCACAUAAAAUCUCAAUAAAAUACAAUAAGGUUUGUGGUGAAAAUGUUCAAA